AGUCAAUUUCAAAGUCUUGAUCAUUGUGAUGGGGUGCAUUGGAGGACUUAUACUGCUCACGAUCACAAUCUGUAUCUGUCGCUGCUGCUGCUGCAGGAAAAACAACUCAGACAGUUAUGCCAAAGAUGAAGCUAAAGUUGAAAGAAAGAAGAUGGAACGCAAGGCCAAGAGUGACGAAAGGAGAGCGGAAAGAAAGAGUAAGACAGAUGAAAUCAGGAAAAAGUAUGGUAAGUUAAUUAAUUCUUAAAAUCUUUUCAUUUUUAAAUAGUUUUUACUAACUUAAAGGCCAUAUAGUUAAGGAAUGUCAACUUCAUUAGACCUUUCUUGAAAAUGGUAAAAAAAACAAAACUUUCAGAGUAGGCUAAAUAAAGUCAGGGUUGGUAGGGUUAGUUGAAACACAGGUAGUUUUUUCGGCAUUAGUGCAGUAGAAUUUAAUUUUUGAAUCAUAAAUAAAUGUUCAAGUAAGCAGAGUAGAACUCCUAUUAUAUGAACUCUCAUGAAAAGUGAAUUUGUUCAGAAAUAGUUAUGCUGAUGUUCUUUUAUAUGAUUCCGUAAGAAAAUGGACACUUAAAAUUAUGAUAUUUGGGAUGAGAAUUUGAAAUAUGAAGUUUGCAUCAGUAAUUUAAAGGCCAGAGAUAAAAUAUUUCAUGGAAUUUCAAAUAUAAUCUAUUUUGGAGUCUUUUUUAAAAGUAAAAAUUAGCCCUUUCAGAUAUAUAUAAUGUACCUGUAUUGAUGAUUUGUACAAUAUUGUUGUGAUUACCUCCCUUGCUAUCAGGAAUCGGUUUCAAAGGUAAGAUUUUUGACAUAAGACAGAACAGUCAUCCCCAACCUACAUUUAUGAUUUAGUUUUUUGUGGUUUUAUGAUUAUAUUAGUUUGUUUUCUUUUUUCUUUUUUUUCCUCUUUCUUCUCAUUUUCAGAUCUGUAACAGUGAACCAGUAUCAACAUAUAUACAUGAUGUAUUUGAAUUUCUUGUGCAAAUUUUUGUAUAUUUCAAAUCUUUAAAUUUUUCAUUUCUUAUUGUAUGUGACUAUUUGACAUGCUUGUUUCUGAAUUAUUCGAGAUUAUGCAAUGUACUGUGAUUAUUUUUAUUUUGUUCCAUUCAAACAUUCAAACAAUUUUUUUAGGUCACCUGGGACGAAGUCUCCAGUAACCUAUUUUAAUCGCCUUUUGUCUGUCGUCGUGGGACGUGUGUCUGCAAACAAUUUACAUCUUUGACUUCUCCAAAACCGCUGAACCAAAUUCAAUGAAAUUUGCCAGGAAACUUCCAUGGCCAAAUUCAAGGUCAACCAAAAUUGUGAAAUAUAUGGUCCUGACCCCAAGGGGCCUGAAAGGCAGGGCCAAAAAGGGUCAAAUUGACUAAAAUUUCAAAAAUCUUCGUUACAAAUCAAAGAUAUGAUAGAAUUAAUCUUCACCAGAUAGAAAAGUCUUCAGGUCCUUUGCCAAAAUUGUGAAUUUUAUGACCCUUGGGUCUCACAUUUUCCCCUGGGAAGGGGAUAAAGUUAACUAUAGAUUAUAUAUUGGGAAAAAAAUAAUUGAGCAUUAUUUGUUCCAAUUGCCAUUGGAAUAAUACAAACUUUGUUAGAUGUGUAUAUUGUCACUAAAUGACCUCCACCUGAAUAUAUUGGUAGAAAAAAUUACUAUUCAUAGAUGGAAGCUAGGGUCCUAAGGUGCGUUACCAAAAUUGUGAUUUUCAUGACCCUGGGGUCUCACGUUUGCCCUUGGGGGAGGGGGUAAACUUGACUAUAGUUUAUAUAGGGAAAUCUUAAUUUUGACUUUUAUUUGUUUGAUUUCUAUUCGAAUUCAUUUUAACUUUAUCAGCAUUGGAUGACAGCUUGAUAGUAUGCACAUGUUGGCCCCGACUGACCCCCUGGCUGAUAGGCAGGGUAAAAAAGGGUCAAUUAAAUCAACUGAAAUAUUUCGAUAUUCAGGUGACCGUUAAGGCCCAUAGGCCUCUUGGUU